AGACUACGAGUGAUAAGAUCCGUGGUCAAAAGGGAAACAGCCCAGACCACCAGCUAAGGUCCCAAAUGCCGUACUAAGUGGAAAAGGAUGUGGGGUCUCGAAAACAACCAGGAUGUUGGCUCAGAAGCAGCCACCAUUUAAAGAGUGCGUAAUAGCUCACUGGUCGAGAGACCCUGCGCCGAAGAUUACCGGGGCUAAAGUACGGAACCGAAGCUGUGGCUGUGUACGAAAGUACACGGGGUAGGGGAGCGUUCCCACAGGGUUGAAGUUGUGCUGAAAGGCAUGGUGGACUUGUGGGAAGUGAGAAUGUUGGUAUGAGUAGCGAAAAGAAAGGUGAGAAUCCUUUCCACCGAAAGCAUAAGGAUUCCUGGGCAACGAUCGUCGUCCCAGGGUAAGUCGGGACCUAAUCCGAGGCAUGGAGCGUAGGAGAUGGACAACUGGCAGAUAUUCCAGUACCGGUAAUGAUUGUUUGAGCGACGGAGUGACACAGGAGGGCAGGCAGGCAGGAGAUUGGUUGUUCCUGUAUAAGCGUGUAGGAUGAAACAUAGGCAAAUCCGUGUUUCGGAAGUCUGAGGCGUGAUGUGGAGUGUCCAGAGAUGGACGCGAAGCUGCUGACCCCACACUGUCGAGAAAAGCUUCUAGUUAGAGAAUUACCGCCCGUACCGUAAACCGACACAGGUAUGCGGGGAGAGAAUCCUAAGGUGCGCGGGAGAACCCUCGUUAAGGAACUCGGCAAAAUGUACCCGUAACUUCGGGAUAAGGGUAGCCGCUGUUGUGAAGUCUGAACAGACGGAGCAUGAGGCGGUCGCAGAGAAGAGGCCCAAGCGACUGUUUACCACAAACACAGGUGCCUGCUAAAGAGAAAUCUGACGUAUAGGUGCUGACACCUGCCCAGUGCCGGAAGGUUAAGGAAGGAUGUCCGGAGCAAUCCAAAGCAUUCGACCGAAGCCCCGGUGAACGGCGGCCGUAACUAUAACGGUCCUAAGGUAGCGAAAUUCCUUGUCGGGUAAGUUCCGACCCGCACGAAAGGUGUAACGAUUUGGGCACUGUCUCAACGAGGGACCCGGUGAAAUUGAAGUACCUGUGAAGAUGCAGGUUACCCGCGACUGGACAGAAAGACCCCAUGGAGCUUUACUGUAACCUGACAUUGUGUUUUGAUACAUCACGUACAGGAUAGGUGGGAGGCUUGGAAGGCAGGACGCCAGUUUUGCCGGAGCCGUUGUUGGGAUACCACCCUUGAUGUAUCGAAAUUCUAACCGUAGGAGUAACGAAACUCGGGACAGUGUCAGGCGGGCAGUUUGACUGGGGCGGUCGCCUCCCAAAGAGUAACGGAGGCGCCCAAAGGUUCCCUCAGCGCGGCCGGAAAUCGCGCGAAGAGUGUAAAGGCAGAAGGGAGCUUGACUGAGAGCCAAACACGGCGAUCAGGUACGAAAGUAGGGCUUAGUGAUCCGGUGGCAUCCGAGUGGAAGGGCCAUCGCUCAACGGAUAAAAGCUACCCUGGGGAUAACAGGCUAAUCUCUCCCAAGAGUCCAUAUCGACGGGGAGGUUUGGCACCUCGAUGUCGGCUCAUCACAUCCUGGGGCUGAAGUCGGUCCCAAGGGUUGGGCUGUUCGCCCAUUAAAGUGGUACGUGAGCUGGGUUCAGAACGUCGUGAGACAGUUCGGUCCCUAUCCAUCGCGGGCGCAAGAGAUUUGAAGGGGGCUGCUCCUAGUACGAGAGGACCGGAGUGGACGAACCAAUGGUGUACCAAUUAUCCCGCCAGGGGUACAGUUGGGUAGCUACGUUCGGAAAGGAUAAACGCUGAAAGCAUCUAAGCGUGAAACCAGCCUUAAGAUGAGAUCUCUCAUAGAGUAAUCUAGUAAGACACCUUAAAGAAGAUGAGGUUGAUAGGUCGGGAGUGUAAGUACAGUAAUGUAUUCAGCGGACCGAUACUAAUAUGUCGAGGGCUUGACUUA
rnacentral:rRNA from 1 species